CCUGGCUUAGGACGAACGCUGGCGGCGUGCCUAAUACAUGCAAGUGAACGGCUUUCUAUGGAAGCUUGCUUCCACUGAGAAGAUAGUGGCGAACGGGUGAGUAACACGUGGGUAACCUGCCCAUAAGAGGGGGGAUAACAUCCGGAAACGGGUGCUAAUACCGCAUAGUUUUCUUGAUUGCAUGAUUGAGAAAGGAAAGACGGCCUUUGUGCUGUCGCUUAUGGAUGGACCCGCGGCGUAUUAGUUAGUUGGUGAGGUAACGGCUCACCAAGACGAUGAUACGUAGCCGACCUGAGAGGGUGAUCGGCCACAUUGGGACUGAGACACGGCCCAAACUCCUACGGGAGGCAGCAGUAGGGAAUCUUCCGCAAUGGACGAAAGUCUGACGGAGCAACGCCGCGUGAGUGAAGAAAGGUUUUCGGAUCGUAAAACUCUGUUGUCAGAGAAGAACAAGUUGGAGAGUAACUGCUCCAGCCUUGACGGUAUCUGACCAGAAAGCCACGGCUAACUACGUGCCAGCCGCUGC
rnacentral:rRNA from 1 species